GACGAACGCUGGCGGCGUGCUUAACACAUGCAAGUCGAACGAGAAACUUAUAAAUGAUCCUUCGGGUGAAUCUAUAAGCGGACAGUGGCGAACGGGUGAGUAACGCGUAGGUAACCAACCUCAUGCAGGGGGAUAGCCCAGGGAAACUUGGAUUAAACCCGCAUAAGACCACAGCACCGCAUGGUGCAGGGGUAAAAACUCCGGUGGCAUGAGACGGACCUGCGUCUUAUUAGGUAGUUGGUGAGGUAACGGCUCACCAAGCCAACGAUGAGUAGCCGACCUGAGAGGGUGAUCGGCCACAUUGGGACUGAGACACGGCCCAGACUCCUACGGGAGGCAGCAGUGGGGAAUAUUGCGCAAUGGGGGAAACCCUGACGCAGCAACGCCGCGUGAGCGAUGAAGGUUUUCGGAUCGUAAAGCUC
rnacentral:rRNA from 1 species